AAAAUUAGUAGGAGAUCGAUUAACUCUUUUUCCAAGCAGUCCCAUUACCAUUUGUCCGACUAUGACACCACCAUAUUUUCUUACACACAAUCUACAAAAAAAGGAACCCAAUGGUGUAAUUUGUGUGAAGAGAAAACAAGAAGGGGUAUAGGAAAAAAAAUAAAGAAAGAAAGAAUGUACAAUGCUCAAUAGCCGGCCUGAUGAUUGAAAGAAGGGGAACAGAUAGCUCGCGGAUCAUGUCAUGCACUUUAGGUAUGAGGUACAUGUACUUAUGUGAUUCAAAUCUAUCGAUUGUAGAGAAUUCGUAUGUGUAUUCGAUGAGCGAGGGAGGUGCGGGCAUAUAAA
rnacentral:misc_RNA from 1 species